rnacentral:miRNA from 1 species
CUUUUCCAAAAUGUCGUCGGAA